UGAGGAAUAUUGCGCAAUGGAGGCAACUCUGACGCAGCCAUGCCGCGUGCAGGAAGAAGGCGCUACGCGUUGUAAACUGCUUUUAUCCGGGAAGAAACCCCUCCACGCGUGGAGGGUUGACGGUACCGGAGGAAAAAGCACCGGCUAACUACGUGCCAGCAGCCGCGGUAAUACGUAGGGUGCGAGCGUUAAUCGGAAUUACUGGGCGUAAAGGGUGCGCAGGCGGUCUUGCAAGUCAGAUGUGAAAGCCCCGGGCUUAACCUGGGAAUUGCGUUUGAAACUACAAGGCUAGAGUGCAGCAGAGGGGAGUGGAAUUCCAUGUGUAGCAGUGAAAUGCGUAGAGAUGUGGAAGAACACCGAUGGCGAAGGCAGCUCCCUGGGUUGACACUGACGCUCAUGCACGGAAGCGUGGGGAGCAAACA
rnacentral:rRNA from 1 species